UACAGAGGCCCCGAGCGUUAAUCGGAAUUACUGGGCUUAAAGGGUGCGUAGGCGGACCAGAAAGUGCUUUGUGAAAGCCCCCGGCUCAACCGGGGAACUGCGGGGCAUACUGCUGGUCUUGAGGCAAGUAAGGGUUGCGAGAACUGUAGGUGGAGCGGUGAAAUGCGUAGAUAUCUACAGGAAUGCCGAUGGUGAAGACGCGCAACUGGGCUUGUCCUGACGCUGAGGCUCGAAAGCGUGGGGAGCAAACAGG
rnacentral:rRNA from 1 species